GUGGGGAAUAUUGGACAAUGGGCGCAAGCCUGAUCCAGCCAUGCCGCGUGAGUGAUGAAGGCCUUAGGGUUGUAAAGCUCUUUCACCGAUGAAGAUAAUGACGGUAGUCGGAGAAGAAGCCCCGGCUAACUUCGUGCCAGCAGCCGCGGUAAUACGAAGGGGGCUAGCGUUGUUCGGAUUUACUGGGCGUAAAGCGCACGUAGGCGGUUUGUUAAGUCAGGGGUGAAAUCCCGGAGCUCAACUCCGGAACUGCCUUUGAUACUGGCAAGCUAGAGUCCGGAAGAGGUAAGUGGAACUCCUAGUGUAGAGGUGGAAUUCGUAGAUAUUAGGAAGAACACCAGUGGCGAAGGCGGCUUACUGGUCCGGAACUGACGCUGAGGUGCGAAAGCGUGGGGAGCAAACAGGAUUAGAUACCCGAGUAGUCC
rnacentral:rRNA from 1 species